rnacentral:other from 1 species
CAAUCGCUAGCCUGAACGGCUUGGUUCUCUGAAUCAAUUGGCUUAGUUAUUGCGAUGUUGUGUUUGCAAACUCGGUUUUCGAGUUAGGUAGAUUUCUACCAUUGUUUUGUUUCUUUAAUCCGGGAAACAAAACGUAUACUUCCUGUAUUUAUUUUUUGACCUGUCUGUCAAAUUUUUUUAGCACCGCCUAUUGGCGGUGUUUUUUUAU